AGCAUCCCAGCCAGCAGCAGAAUCAGCAGCAGCAGCAGCAGCAGCAAGACCAGGGAUCGAUGGGGAAGGAGGACUCGCAAGAUUCGAGUCAAUGAUUUGGUGCUUGAAUUUGAGAUUGUUAGUAGGAAAAUUAGAAAUCUUUUUUUUUUGGUGUAGAUUUGUGGAGAACGGGAGGAAUGGUGGAUCUGGAUGUUGGAUCUGGAUGUUGAGGUUCUUCUUCUAUCUGAUGAAAUUCUCGGUGUAGAUGGAAGGAUAGAGAUAAUUGGAUGGGGGACUAUAUAGCGUUUUAUUCCUUUUCAGGUGUGUAGAUAUUGUAAGAGUUAAAUUUUGUGCAAUUUCUAGUUAAAUUUUGUUGGCAUUGUGAUUGGCUUGUUUUCUGAACAUUGAAGCUUGUCAUUUUCAUUUAUUUAUAAUGGUUUGAGUGCUUAAUUUUGUCGAAUGUUGCCUUUUUUACCGAGGGUUUGCAAAGAAAAGGAUAUAUUUAUC